CCUACGGGAGGCAGCAGUGAGGAAUAUUGGUCAAUGGACGAGAGUCUGAACCAGCCAAGUAGCGUGAAGGAUGACUGCCCUAUGGGUUGUAAACUUCUUUUAUAUGGGAAUAAAAUGUUCCACGUGUGGGAUUUUGUAUGUACCAUAUGAAUAAGGAUCGGCUAAUUCCGUGCCAGCAGCCGCGGUAAUACGGAGGAUCCGAGCGUUAUCCGGAUUUAUUGGGUUUAAAGGGAGCGUAGGUGGAUUGUUAAGUCAGUUGUGAAAGUUUGCGGCUCAACCGUAAAAUUGCAGUUGAAACUGGCAGUCUUGAGUACAGUAGAGGUGGGCGGAAUUCGUGGUGUAGCGGUGAAAUGCUUAGAUAUCACGAAGAACUCCGAUUGCGAAGGCAGCUCACUGGACUGCAACUGACACUGAGGCUCGAAAGUGUGGGUAUCGAACAGGAUUAGAUACCCCGGUAGUC
rnacentral:rRNA from 1 species